UUGGAGGCGUAAUACGAACUAGAUUGUAAGAACACGGAAGUAGUCGCCAUAGUAUAUAUUAUAUGUUGAACAAUUUGGAAACACACUACCGUUGCACUCGCUUGUUUUAAACACUAAAGAUCUUUGGAUAACUCCAAUAAGUGCAUUACCAACAAAGAUGAAAUCUGUAUGCAUCGCACUCUUGAUGGCAUGUGUCCUGGUUUCCGUUGUCCAAGGUCAGUGGGGUGGCUACUACGGGGGUGGUGGAAACUACUACGGUGGACACGGACUGGGAGGUGGAUAUUACGGGGGCGGAUUGAUCGGUGGCAGACUCGGCGGAUGGAAUUCCGGAUUUGGUCGAUUCGGUGGUGGCGGACUUUUAGGUCUUGGCCGUAGAAGUCUCGGUAGAAGAGGAUAUUAUUAGUCUGAUGUUUACUUUACGAAACGAACUACACUGAAACCACUGUGCUUACAUAAUUCCAAAUGAUGAGUGACAGCCAUUAUAAACUUUGAUCACAUGUCUUUUAUUUAAUAUAUCAUAUGUUGUUUGUUGUACGUUAUGAGCACUUUUUAUUUAUAUUUUUUAUUAUAUAAAACAAGAUGUUUCAUCGCAUGUUUUAAUGCAAUGCAAUGUCUUUUAAAAAGUAUAUUGAAUUGAUGAAAUAAAUGAUAAAACAAA